GGGGUAGUACUGGUUUCGACAGGGAUUUUGCAGCUGGAGAAGCUAUCCGCAGGAUGGUGUGUCAAACCUCAAAUUAAAAUUAAACGCCGACGAUAAUUACGCGUUAGCUGCAGCUUAAACGCUUGCAGCCGUCAGCCCGGUUCUACCCAUGGUCCCGGUUCCUGGCGUCAUUAUCAUGGGAAACGGCAGGGUCAAAGCUUUGAGGCCUUGUACGUAUCAUGAAGCUACUGAAGUUCUUAGGAUGUGCUUUUCCGGGGGCGGAGGGAAUGCGUUCAGUCUGCUACGCAGAGUGAACGAAAAUAAAGCACUAUGAUAGUAGAAGGACAGGGAAUAGGUUUCUGGACACGGGUUCGACUCCCGUCUACUCCACUA
rnacentral:tmRNA from 1 species